rnacentral:rRNA from 1 species
UGGGGAAUAUUGGACAAUGGGCGAAAGCCUGAUCCAGCCAUGCCGCGUGAGUGAUGAAGGCCUUAGGGUUGUAAAGCUCUUUUGUCAGGGAAGAUAAUGACGGUACCUGAAGAAUAAGCACCGGCUAACUUCGUGCCAGCAGCCGCGGUAAUACGAAGGGUGCUAGCGUUGUUCGGAAUUACUGGGCGUAAAGCGCGCGUAGGCGGCUAUUCAAGUCAGAGGUGAAAUCCUUGGGCUCAACCCAAGAAUUGCCUUUGAAACUGGGUAGCUAGAGUGUCGGAGGGGAUAGCGGAAUUCCUAAUGUAGAGGUGAAAUUCGUAGAUAUUAGGAGGAACACCGGUGGCGAAGGCGGCUAUCUGGACGACAACUGACGCUGAGGCGCGAAAGCACGGGGAUCAAACAGG